AGGACGAACGCUGGCGGCGCGCCUAACACAUGCAAGUCGAACGGAGAUUCUUAACGGAAGCUUCGGGUGGAAGUUAAGCGUCUAGUGGCAACGGGUGAGUAACACGUGAGGAACCUGCCUUUCAGAGGGGGGAUAACACUUAGAAAUAGGUGCCUAAUACCGCAUAAGACCACACCUCGGCAUCGAGGAGAGGCCAAAGGAGCAAUCCGCUGAAAGAUGGACUCGCGUCUGAUUAGAUAGUUGGUGGGGUAACGGCCUACCAAGUCGACGAUCAGUAGCCGGACUGAGAGGUUGAUCGGCCACAUUGGGACUGAGACACGGCCCAGACUCCUACGGGAGGCAGCAGUGAGGGAUAUUGGGCAAUGGGGGAAACCCUGACCCAGCGACGCCGCGUGAGGGAAGAAGGUUUUCGGAUUGUAAACCUCUGUCUUUAGGGACGAAGAAGUGACGGUACCUAAGGAGGAAGCCACGGCUAACUACGUG
rnacentral:rRNA from 1 species